rnacentral:rRNA from 1 species
UACAGAGGUGGCAAGCGUUGUUCGGAAUUACUGGGCGUAAAGGGCGCGUAGGCGGCCUUCUAAGUCAGACGUGAAAUCCCCCGGCUUAACCUGGGAACUGCGUCUGAUACUGGAGGGCUUGAGUAUGGGAGAGGGAUGUAGAAUUCCAGGUGUAGCGGUGAAAUGCGUAGAUAUCUGGAGGAAUACCGGUGGCGAAGGCGGCAUCCUGGACCAUUACUGACGCUGAGGCACGAAAGCGUGGGGAGCAAACAGG